rnacentral:rRNA from 1 species
GGAUUAGAUACCCUGGUAGUCCACGCCGUAAACGAUGUCUACUAGCCGUUGGGAGCCUUGAGCUCUUAGUGGCGCAGCUAACGCACUAAGUAGACCGCCUGGGGAGUACGGUCGCAAGAUUAAAACUCAAAUGAAUUGACGGGGGCCCGCACAAGCGGUGGAGCAUGUGGUUUAAUUCGAUGCAACGCGAAGAACCUUACCAAGACUUGACAUCCUGAGAACUUGCUAGAGAUAGCUUGGUGCCUUCGGGAACUCAGAGACAGGUGCUGCAUGGCUGUCGUCAGCUCGUGUUG